AACGCACAUUGCGCCCUGUGGUAUUCCACAGGGCAUGCCUGUUUGAGCGUCAUUUCUCCUUCAAGCUUCUUAGUUUGGACUUGGGCGUGGGUGUAUAACCCAGCCUGAAAUAUUGGGUGGAGCAGUUUGUAUCUGCUAGUUGACGCCAAUGAGUUAGGUUCUGCCAGUUCGUUGGAAAGACUAGGGGGUGACGCUGAGCCAAGACCAGCCCAUAGCAUUUUAAAAUUGACCUCAAAUCAGGUAGGACUACCCGCUGAACUUAA
rnacentral:misc_RNA from 1 species